rnacentral:sRNA from 1 species
CAGAGGCCAGCAUCCAAGCUGGUGCCGGAGACGGUGAGUGGGAAGAGUCUGAAGUCAAACUGAAAAAGUCCAAGAUCAAAAUGCCCAAGUUUAAUUUUUCCAAACCUAAAGGGAAAGGUGGUGUCACUGGCUCACCAGAAGCAUCCAUUUCUGGGUCCAAAGGUGACCUGAAAAGUUCAAAGGCCAGCCUGGGCUCUCUGGAAGGAGAGGCAGAGGCCGAAGCCUCUUCACCGAAAGGCAAAUUCUCCUUAUUUAAAAGUAAGAAGCCACGGCACCGCUCAAAUUCAUUCAGUGAUGAAAGAGAGUUCUCUGGACCUUCCACCCCGACGGGGACUCUGGAGUUUGAAGAACACACCACAGCCAUCAGCACUGGAAUGCAAAGACCAGAACAAACAGAAGGAAGCCAGCAGCCAAGCCGGGGCAGUUUCAGUCUCCACCCCAAAUGCAGGGCUGUAGAAGCGGCCAGGAAGAAAACCACCCCCUCUUAAGGUUGUUUUUGUGACCGUUCUUUGGAGCAUUGUUCUAAAAAUGGGAAAUUACAUAUUGCUGCGCCAAGGGCAACAAACACCUGCAGUUAAAGGAAUACCUUCCAUGAGGCGGCUUUUCGGAGCAUGCACGUUUAUAGCUCCAGACAGGCCAGACCGAGGGCUGCCGCAUAAGCCCUGCUUGGUGCAUUUCUUUACUUGCAAGGGGACAGAGUGUGGGCUUAGGUUUGGGACUAGAGGGGGCUUUGGCAACUGUGGUGCUCAGGUGAUUAUCUUUCGCUCAUUUAUCCAAUAAACAUUUAUCAAGC